rfam:Xenopus tropicalis strain Nigerian Chr07_contig_2963, whole genome shotgun sequence.
AUUGCCAUCUUACUGGGCAGCAUUGGAUUUUGUCUAUGUUUCUAAUACUGCCUGGUAAUGAUGAUUAU